GAUGAACGCUAGCGGCAGGCUUAAUACAUGCAAGUCGAGGGGCAGCAUGACUGUAGCAAUACAGUUGAUGGCGACCGGCAAACGGGUGCGGAACACGUACAGAACCUUCCUUUAAGUGGUGAAUAGCCCAGAGAAAUUUGGAUUAAUACACCGUAACAUAUAGAGUUGGCAUCAAUUUUAUAUUAUAGCUCCGGCGCUUAAAGAUGGCUGUGCGGCUGAUUAGGUAGUUGGCGGGGUAACGGCCCACCAAGCCUACGAUCAGUAACUGGUGUGAGAGCACGACCAGUCACACGGGCACUGAGACACGGGCCCGACUCCUACGGGAGGCAGCAGUAAGGAAUAUUGGUCAAUGGACGCAAGUCUGAACCAGCCAUGCCGCGUGGAGGAUGAAGGUCCUCUGGAUUGUAAACUUCUUUUAUAUGGGACGAAAAAAGGGUUUUCUAACUCGUCUGACGGUACCAUAUGAAUAAGCACCGGCUAACUCCGUGCCAGCCGCCGCCGUAAAAC
rnacentral:rRNA from 1 species